GCCCCCGUGGUCGAAGCGGUGAUGACGCCGGGUUCUCAACCCGGAAGCUGCGGGUUCGAGUCCCGCCGGGGGUA
rnacentral:tRNA from 1 species